GGAUGUGAGGGCGAUCUGGCUGCCACGUCUGUCACCCCACUGAUAGCCAGGGUUGAUUCGUCUGAUCUAGGCCGUAUCCCUUCCUCCGUCACUGCUCCACGUGCAUCCCUCCGGAGACCUGCGCGCUCUGCGGAAGAGGACGACCACCCGCGGCAGAGGAGGACCGGUCUGCGCUCACGGGUUCCCAGUAGCUGCGCUCCCCUGAUGGAACCUCCAAACCAGCUCUCAGGAGUCCGCAACACAGAGAAGGUAAGACACGUU
rnacentral:snRNA from 1 species